rnacentral:misc_RNA from 1 species
AAAGUGCGAAAUAAAGUGCGAUUUGCAUGAAUCUGUGAGUCAUCAUAUAUUUGAACGCAACAUGCGCCCAGAGAUGGGCAUGUCUGUUUGAGGGUCGUAGUUGAUGGAUUGAAAAAAUAGGGUUCUAAACUCGAGUUUUCGGUUCGAAAUGCCAGCAUCAGAUGCAGGUUAAACAACGCUAGGGUCGACAAGACAAAAGUCUGUGCCAGAGAGCAAAGCUCUUCUCAGACUCGAGUUUUUGAAGACCAUUAAACCAUUUAUUUAUUUCAGGCCUCAAAUCAGUCAAGAUCACCCGCUGAACUUAA